GAUGAACGCUGGCGGCGUGCUUAACACAUGCAAGUCGAACGGGAAACCUUUUAUUGAAGCUUCGGCAGAUUUAGCUGGUUCUAGUGGCGGACGGGUGAGUAACGCGUGGGUAACCUGCCUUAUACAGGGGGAUAACAACCAGAAAUGGUUGCUAAUACCGCAUAAGCGCACAGGACCGCAUGGUCCGGUGUGUAAAACUCCGGUGGUAUAAGAUGGACCCGCGUUGGAUUAGCUAGUUGGCAGGGUAACGGCCUACCAAGGCGACGAUCCAUAGCCGGCCUGAGAGGGUGAACGGCCACAUUGGGACUGAGACACGGCCCAGACUCCUACGGGAGGCAGCAGUGGGGAAUAUUGCACAAUGGGGGAAACCCUGAUGCAGCGACGCCGCGUGAAGGAAGAAGUAUCUCGGUAUGUAAACUGCUAUCAGCAGGGAAGAUAGUGACGGUACCUGACUAAGAAGCCCCGGCUAACUACGUG
rnacentral:rRNA from 1 species